rnacentral:rRNA from 1 species
GACGAACGCUGGCGGCGCGCUUAACACAUGCAAGUCGAGCGAUGAAAUUUCGACAGAUCCCUUCGGGGUGAAGAUGAAAUGGAUUAGCGGCGGACGGGUGAGUAACACGUGAGUAACCUGCCUUUGACAUUGGGAUAGCCUCGGGAAACUGGGAUUAAUACCAAAUGACACUAACUGAUCACAUGAUCAAUUAGUCAAAGAAAUUCGGUCAAAGAUGGACUCGCGGCUGAUUAGCUAGUUGGUGAGGUAACGGCCCACCAAGGCGACGAUCAGUAGCCGGCCUGAGAGGGUGAUCGGCCACAUUGGAACUGAGACACGGUCCAAACUCCUACGGGAGGCAGCAGUGGGGAAUAUUGCACAAUGGGGGAAACCCUGAUGCAGCGACGCCGCGUGAGCGAAGAAGGCCUUCGGGUCGUAAAGCUCUUUUAUGAGGGAAGAUAAUGACGGUACCUCAAGAAAAAGCCCCGGCUAACUACGU